UACCCGCAGCACAAGUGGUGGUCAUUAUUAUUGGGCCUAAAGCGUCCGUAGCUGGCCUGUUGGAUGCCUGUGUAAAUCGAUGCGCUCAACGCAUCGAACUCCGGGUAGACCGGCAGGCUUGGGACCGGGAGAGGCGUGGGCUACUCGAGGGGUAGGGGUAAAAUCCUGUAAUCCUUCGGGGAGGACCAGUGGCGAAGGCGUCACGCUAGAACGGCUCCGACAGGGAGGGACGAAGCCCUGGGGCGCAAACCGG
rnacentral:rRNA from 1 species